CAGCCGCCACGGGAAUACAGAGGGUGCAAGCGUUAAUCGGAAUUACUGGGCGUAAAGCGCGCGUAGGUGGUUUGUUAAGUUGGAUGUGAAAGCCCCGGGCUCAACCUGGGAACUGCAUCCAAAACUGGCAAGCUAGAGUACGGUAGAGGGUGGUGGAAUUUCCUGUGUAGCGGUGAAAUGCGUAGAUAUAGGAAGGAACACCAGUGGCGAAGGCGACCACCUGGACUGAUACUGACACUGAGGUGCGAAAGCGUGGGGAGCAAACAGGAUUAGAUACCCGGGUAGUCCCUGUCUCUUAUAA
rnacentral:rRNA from 1 species